CAGCGACAAUGCGUCGAGAAUUCACAA
rnacentral:sRNA from 1 species